UUUUGAUGUAAGCAAGCUUCAGAAGCUUAGAAGUAAAGGUGAAAAGAAAACUGAUACUGUUGUUAACAAGGGUUCCAAGGUGCACCCAAAGAAAAAGAUAACAAAAAAGAAUAGGGUUUGGGACGAUUCACCUCAAGAGUCGAAAUUGGAUUUUACAGAUCCUCUGGAGGAGAACGUGAAUGAGAAUAUAGAGGUUGUGGG
rnacentral:misc_RNA from 1 species